rnacentral:tRNA from 1 species
GCCGGGGUAGCUCAGCCUGGCCUAGAGUGCCAGCCUUCCAAUGAAGGGCAAUACUCAUAAUCUGGAGGUCGUGGGUUCGAAACCCACCCCCGGCA